rnacentral:rRNA from 1 species
AAUAGAUACCCGGGUAGUCCACGCCGUAAACGAUGAGUGCUAAGUGCUAGAGGGUUUCCGCCCUUUAGUGCUGCAGCUAACGCAUUAAGCACUCCGCCUGGGGAGUACGGUCGCAAGACUGAAACUCAAAGGAAUUGACGGGGGCCCGCACAAGCGGUGGAGCAUGUGGUUUAAUUCGAAGCAACGCGAAGAACCUUACCAGGUCUUGACAUCCUCUGACAACUCUAGAGAUAGAGCGUUCCCCUUCGGGGGACAGAGUGACAGGUGGUGCAUGGUUGUCGUCAGCUCGCGUCGUGAGAUGUUGGGUUAAGUCCCGCAACGAGCGCAACCCUUGAUCUUAGUUGCCAGCAUUUAGUUGGGCACUCUAAGGUGACUGCCGGUGACAAACCGGAGGAAGGUGGGGAUGACGUCAAAUCAUCAUGCCCCUUAUGACCUGGGCUACACACGUGCUACAAUGGAUGGUACAAAGGGCUGCAAGACCGCGAGGUCAAGCCAAUCCCAUAAAACCAUUCUCAGUUCGGAUUGUAGG